rnacentral:misc_RNA from 1 species
AAAACGCGAAAACGUGUUAUGACAUGCAGUCUUUGAGAAUGAAUGACUUUUUGAACGCACCGUGUACUCGUGUGUCUAGCAUGAGUAUGUUUGUUUGAGCAUGGAACGAAUUCUUUACUAUUUAGUAAUCUAUGAGGAUUAGGGUUACCUAUUCUUGAAAUACAAUACGAUCACGUGUGAUUAUCACUGGAACAAACUUUCUUUGAUAAUCACACAACAUCCCCCUUUUUACACACCUAUCUCAAAUCAAACAAGAAGACCCGCUGAACUUAA